CUGAGAGGCUCUUGUUCAUGAACUGUCUCUUCACAAAGCAAGUCCACCACUAACACGAGGGGACAAAACAGAACGCACAGUGGCAGUGAAAUUACAAUGCAAGUUCAAGGAUCUCUGCCGAGAACAGAAACAUUCAUGACCCUACAAGAGGAAACAAUAUUUCACGUGUGACUUGUUCUUGAAGAGCUCUGUAAGCCCAACUCUUAACCUAAAGGAAAAUGUGGAAAAGGUGAAUGGGUAUGGAUCCAAUGUGGCACGUACUUCAGGUCAAAGUUUACACAGAUUUGCCCCACCAGCGUGGCUCAAUGGUUGAGCAUCAACCUGUGAAUCAGGAGGUCGCGGUUCAAUUCCCAUUCAGGGCACAUGCCCGGGUUGUGGGCUCGACCCCUAGAGUGUGGGGCAUGUAGGAGAUAGCUGACCAAUGAUUCUCUCUCAUCAUUGAUAUUUCUCUCUCCCUUCCUCUCUGAAAUAAAUAAAAAUAUACUUUAAAAAAA